UACGGGAGGCAGCAGUGGGGAAUAUUGCACAAUGGGCGCAAGCCUGAUGCAGCCAUGCCGCGUGUAUGAAGAAGGCCUUCGGGUUGUAAAGUACUUUCAGUCGUGAGGAAGGUGUUAAGGUUAAUAACCUUAGCAAUUGACGUUAGCGACAGAAGAAGCACCGGCUAACUCCGUGCCAGCAGCCGCGGUAAUACGGAGGGUGCGAGCGUUAAUCGGAAUUACUGGGCGUAAAGGGCACGCAGGCGGUUAAUUAAGUUGGAUGUGAAAUCCCCGGGCUUAACCUGGGAAUGGCAUUCAAGACUGGUUAGCUAGAGUCUUGUAGGGGGGUAGAAUUCCAUGUGUAGCGGUGAAAUGCGUAGAGAUGUGGAGGAAUACCGGUGGCGAAGGCGGCCCCUGGACAAAGACUGACGCUCAUGUGCGAAAGCGUGGGGAGCAAACGAGGGAUUAGAUACC
rnacentral:rRNA from 1 species